rnacentral:rRNA from 1 species
UACGUAGGGUGCAAGCGUUGUCCGGAAUUAUUGGGCGUAAAGAGCUCGUAGGCGGCUUGUCACGUCGGGGUGUGAAAGCCCGGGGCUAACCCCGGGUCUGCAUUCGAUACGGGCUGGCUAGAGUGUGGUAGGGGAGAUCGGAAUUCCUGGUGUAGCGGUGAAAUGCGCAGAUAUCAGGAGGAACACCGGUGGCGAAGGCGGGUCUCUGGGCCGAUACUGACGCUGAGGAGCGAAAGCGUGGGGAGCGAACAGG